AUUCAGAUAACAAGUCCCAAAUUGGACGAAACGCGCGUCCUGGAU
rnacentral:hammerhead_ribozyme from 1 species